ACACGCUUCGGAGCAAACACACGGAGAUGCACUCGUGCUCUCAACAAAAAGCUCUGAGGAAAGUCCCCGGGCACUACGGCAGAAAGUGCCGCCCGUAAAGGGCAGGUCCCCGCGGCUGUGGGAGCACGAAGAGGGCUUCGGCCUGAGGUUGCCCACACCGCGGAUCCAGCCGUAGGGUACAGUGAUGCGUGUUGGGGGCUGCUGGCCCCCAAACAGAACGGGGCUUACUCCGG
rnacentral:RNase_MRP_RNA from 13 species